CCAUGGUGCUCUUCUCCCAUCUUCUAAUUUAAUCAGAAAGAAGCAAUCAGCAAAGCGGGAGCUGUAGAAUCAGAGUCCACCCUUCUCUGCAGCUCAAUCAUGGGGUUGUUGGUGGCUUCACGCUCGCCUUACAACCUUCAUGACACUUGCCACAUGAUCUGCAGGACUGCCCCAUGGUGCUGGUACGGGAGUUCUAGCAUCAAACAAGAUACCACUACCAUGGUUUUCCCUGAGCUUAAUCACUUAUGUCUGCAUGCGGAAAAUAUAGCCUGGUAUACAUAUGUAGUAGAUGGGUACAUAAUUAACUGAGAUACAAGUAUGAAGUGCUGCAGUUGCAACAGAUCUUCAUCAAGUUCCUUCAAAAAUUGCACGAAGCGUCCAAUGUUGCCACCAAGUUCGCCGGAGGAAGAAGCACCGAAUUCGCUGGAGGAACAAGAACAUCGGUCGAGCCGCCCAACGUCGCCUGCAGCGGCUACACCAGAGUGUGUGCGCAUGCUCAACAGGUACUGUCACAACAACUCAAUUUCUUCAGAUGUGGCAUAGGAAGUCAUGUCCUCAUGUGCUACUAUUUCUAGAGCAUGCCGAAGCUGGCGAUGUGUCAUGUCCCACGCGGCAGCCUCCCCGAUCCGCCUCGACACCCACAUCAAGUCCUCUCGGUCUACCUCCUCCGUCAUGUAGCAUGGCUUUGAGCGGCCAGGUGUCCUAGAUUGACAGCAACGGCAGCAUGAGGGUGUGAUAAAAUAAUAAUUAGCAGUAACAUGCACUAAUAUGAGGUUUAGCAUCAGGGGUAACUUUAUGCAACCACACUUAGUAAGUAGCAUUUUCUGUUGCUCUAUGAUUUUUAUGUGGGUAAUGGUGAUCUCUGUACAGACUAUAGAUGAUGUUGAAGUACAUGUCACACUGAAAAAGAACAUGCCAGAGAUAAGGCAAUGGAACCUUCAUGUGGUGCAUACUAGGGACAAGAAAUGCUAUGCUGUAAAAGGUUUUUGAGCAGAGGUACUAGCAGUUGGAUGCUCCAUGCCACCACUUUGGUUAAUUGCUUGUAGUUGGAGGGAAUACUGUUGGGUCGAGAGAGAAUUAUAGCAAAAGAUGAAGAUGUGGGCUCUUCGGUUAGUGCUUGCGAAAGUAAACAGUUGAUCACCAUCGGCGACGGUGAUGAAGAGGGCAAGUGGUAACACAGAUGAUUCGCUAGGGACAAGCUUGAAUUUGGGUUGGUUCUCCCGGUUGCA